AGCAGGCGUGAUGUACUGACAGGUGUGUACUCACACAGGUAGAAAGAGCAGGUGUGAUGUACUGACACAGGUAGAAAGAGCAGGCGUGAUGUACUGACAGGUGUGUACUCACACAGGUAGAAAGAGCAGGUGUGAUGUACUGACACAGGUAGAAAGAGCAGGUGUG